rnacentral:lncRNA from 13 species
UUUUGCCCUUUUGGAAGUGUCAUCCUUCAUUUCUCUCGCAUAACAAUGGCCACUUAAGGCUCUUGUUCUGUUUCCCACAGUACUAAAUUUAAUAUGCACAGCCAUAAUAUAAAUAAAUAUAUGAUAACUCUUACUCAAAUCCAUGAAAAUGUAUGUUAUCCCUGAGGAAUAUCAUUCCCUAAAAUGUCCUCCACUUGAACGAAAGGAAAACUGCAGUUUCCCACCAUUCCAAACUGGGACAAUAAUUUAUUUUGGUGAUGAUUAUAGUGGAUAUUUUUGUUUCAUGUGUACAAUAGUAAAACUGACAAUGUUUUCUUCUGUUUGUGUAUUUUGCUUAAAAUAAAAGAUUACUCCAAAGGAAGGCAUUUGAGGAAGACUGCUUGCAGAGAGGGGCCAGAUUUAUUUUGGCUGGCUGUGCUGGCCUCUCAGCUGGACAGCAACCUGCACAAAUCCAGUCCUUCAAUCACUCUCUGUUGCCUUUGCCACAAUAAUUUUCAUGCAGAAUCCCUCCUGGAGCUCAGCUGACUGAUGCUGACAAUCCUUUGCAAGCUGUACCAAAGAUUUUCCAGCAAUUUUACUGCUUAGGAUUCCCCAAAUGUUUCAAAUACCAAAAGCUGAAUGUGUUGUGGGCUGGUCACUUGUAUUAUCUUAAAUUUCUGCAUGUCCACAGUUGUGCUGUGCCCUAGCUGGGAUUUUUUUUCUUUUGGUAGGGCCCUAAUUGAAUUUUUAUUUCAGAACAUUGCUGUUUUCAUCUAAUCUUUGCAGUUUCCUGCUGGAGAGCCCCUCAUGUGCCUGGUUAUUCCCUGGCUGUGCAUUCCAGUCUUUGUUGCAUCCUUGCAGCUGUCUCGAAGGAGCUGUGUCUGUUCAGGAGGAGUUUGGAGGAGAUCAGGAAGGAAAAGUGUCCUGGCUGAGGUCACUGUGGCCCUGCUGUGCCUCCAGCUGGAGUUUCAUUGCCUUUUCCACAGGGAGGGUGCUGACAAGUGCUGUUUUCCCCGUGGAAUCCACAUCUGAUGGGCAAGGAAGGAAAGGACAAAGGAAAAAGCUUUAUCCUUCUCUCCCAGCAGUCACAGAAAACUAAUUUUGUCCAGAUAAGUUCAUUUUGAGCUGGUGUUUUGUCACAGGAGGAGCUGACUGUAAGUGGAGCUGCCAAAUUUGUCAGAAUUCUUCGUGGGUAAUGUAAAUACAUUUCUUGUUAGUAAUGGUUUGGUUUCCUUGUCUCUUGGUGCUUCCUGAGAAAAAUGUCUUGCUGAAAACAUAUUGUAUUAGGAAUUUUUUUGUGCCUGCCCCUGC